rnacentral:rRNA from 1 species
AUGAACGCUGGCGGCGUGCCUAAUACAUGCAAGUCGAGCGAACAGACGAGGAGCUUGCUCCUCUGACGUUAGCGGCGGACGGGUGAGUAACACGUGGAUAACCUACCUAUAAGACUGGGAUAACUUCGGGAAACCGGAGCUAAUACCGGAUAAUAUAUUGAACCGCAUGGUUCAAUAGUGAAAGACGGUUUUGCUGUCACUUAUAGAUGGAUCCGCGCCGCAUUAGCUAGUUGGUAAGGUAACGGCUUACCAAGGCAACGAUGCGUAGCCGACCUGAGAGGGGGGCAGGCCACCCUGGAACUGGAAACCGGGCCCACCCCCCCGGGGGGGACGGAUGGGGACAAUUUCCGCAAAGGGGCAAACCCGUGCGGGCCCACCCCCGUGGGAGGAAAAAGGUUUUCGGUUCUAAAAACCUUUUUUUGGGGGAAAAAAAAAUUGUGUAAGUAACUAGCCGCUUUGACGGGGCCCAAAAAAAAAACCCCGGGUAAACCCGUG